rnacentral:rRNA from 1 species
GACGAACGCUGGCGGCGUGCUUAACACAUGCAAGUCGAACGGAAAUUCUCUGCUUGCAGGUUACUCGAGUGGCGAACGGGUGAUUAACACGUGGGUGGUCUGCUCUCCCCUUCGCGAUAAGCCUGGGAAACUGGGUUUAAUACUGGAUACAGGCCCUUUUUCGUCAUAAGGAUGGUUAGCUUUUUCGGUGUAGGAUGAGCUCGCGUCCUAUCAGCUUGUUGGGGGGGUAAUGGGCUAACAAGGAGGCGACGGGUAGCCGGCCUGAGAGGGUGGACGGCCACAGUGGGACGGAGAGACGGCCCAGACUCCUACGGGAGGCAGCAGUGGGGAAUAUUGCAGAAUGGGCGCAAGCCUGAUGCAGCGACGCCGCGUGGGGGAUGACGGCCUUCGGGUUGUAAACGCCUGUCGCUAGGGACGAAGCUUUUGUGACGGUACCUAGAUAAGAAGCACCGGCUAACUACGUG